UACGUAGGGGGCAAGCGUUGUCCGGAAUCAUUGGGCGUAAAGAGCGUGUAGGCGGCUCGGUAAGUCCGCUGUGAAAGUCCAGGGCUCAACCCUGGAAUGCCGGUGGAAACUGUCGGGCUAGAGUCCGGAAGAGGCGAGUGGAAUUCCUGGUGUAGCGGUGAAAUGCGCAGAUAUCAGGAGGAACACCAAUGGCGAAGGCAGCUCGCUGGGACGGUACUGACGCUGAGGCACGAAAGCGUGGGGAGCAAACAGG
rnacentral:rRNA from 1 species